CCUACGGGUGACAGCAGUCGAGAAUCAUUCACAAUGGGGGAAACCCUGAUGGUGCGACGCCGCGUGGGGGAAUGAAGGUCUUCGGAUUGUAAACCCCUGUCAUGUGGGAGCAAAUUAAAAAGAUAGUACCACAAGAGGAAGAGACGGCUAACUCUGUGCCAGCAGCCGCGGUAAUACAGAGGUCUCAAGCGUUGUUCGGAAUCACUGGGCGUAAAGCGUGCGUAGGCUGUUUCGUAAGUCGUGUGUGAAAGGCGCGGGCUCAACCCGCGGACGGCACAUGAUACUGCGAGACUAGAGUAAGGGAGGGGGAACCGGAAUGCUCGGUGUAGCAGUGAAAUGCGUAGAUAUCGAGAGGAACACUCGUGGUGAAGGCGGGUUCCUGGACAUUAACUGACGCUGAGGCACGAAGGCCAGGGGAGCGAAAGGGAUUAGAUACCCCGGUAGUC
rnacentral:rRNA from 1 species